CCUUGUUCUGCUUUGGGGCUGGGGCAGGAGGCUGCCCUCCAAGAAUGGGGGGCUGUGUCUCCAGGAGGUCCCCUGGGGCUGUCAGAUGCGAUGGGCAAGAUGCAAAUUGCAGCUGCAAAGUCCUAACCCAGCAGCUGGGCUGUGUCAGGAAGAACCACGUCAGCUGUGCCCAGACGCUGAAAAUGCUCCAUCAUCUUCAGGCUGGCUUUGCUUUCGGCAGGCAGCAGGACCGAGCCAAACUCUCAGCAGAGAAUCCAGCAGGAGAAGCAACCUUUCCAGGGCUCUUUCACUGAACUCCAGCGUCCUCGUUCCUCCUCAUACCCCGUGCCACAGCAGCUGAUGCUGUUCUGGGCUCUGCACAGAGGCAGGGGUGAGCACCAAGGAGCUCACAGCUGGGGCUGGGAGCAAGUGGCACAGCCCCGUUUCAGAGAAAGAGUGGAGGGAAUCAGUGCGCAGAAGGAUUAAGGUCUGAAAGGACUCCUGGCAGAGCCGGGAAUCAGCUGAAUUAGUCUGCAAGAGGCCAAGAAAAGGUAUGGAAGUGGUCCAGAGGGGGAAGCAAUGUCUGUAUGCAAUAAUCUGAGCUAUAAAUGAAGUCAAAAACCACAGAACUGAUCUUUUGCUAAACCUCAGGUCCGAUUCCCCAGCUUUGACUGAAGGUUGGAUUUUGUCCCAUAUCCCUAGUGGAAGAAACCUGUCUUCGUACAGGAGCAGAUUUUAAAUUUGUGGGGAUUACUCUGACUGCCUGGUCCAGUCCCCUGUGAUACCAUGACAAGAGGAUCCUGCUCAGUGUCCUGUGAGUGAAAGCUGUAGUCCUUGGUUACAGACAAGGAAGGAAGGAUAUCCUGCAGGGCUUCCAUAUUCCAAUUUUAUUCAGGAUUUUGGAUUUGAAAUUGCCCAUUUUCAACUCCUGACAUUUGAUCUUGCGCUCUUGUCUUCCAGCUUACAGUGCCAUCCAACUUGACCAAGCUUCUGCAGGCACCAAAAGAAGGUUUUUCCAAGCCUCUUGGAGCUAUUUUUUAAAGCUGAUUCCCAUCUGUCAACAUCUCUUGUGAAGUGGAGCCAAGUGUUUUGGCCGCAGCAUCUGGCAGUGGAGCCCAUUGCUGGCUUGGUUUUGUCCAGCGCCUUGGGAGGACGAGUGAUGCGGUGACCACCCACCGCUGUGAUCGCCCUCACCCAGGGCUGAUGCUUUCCCAGAGGUUCCUGCAGGGACUUUUCAGACAGCUCGAGGCUGACUGUGGAGCUCUUGCCCUCAUUUGGCCAGGACUGCUGUGCCUCCAGCCUGUUUUGAAGAACAGAGGCAUGGAUGAUGCCCACAGGAGGCACAGCUAAAGCAUGGUUACAGUCUCCCAUCCCUCAUUUCCUGCUGCAAAGGCUACAGCACAUCUCCAAAGCAAAGGCAGUGUUACUCUUCUAAUGAAUCCUGAAAUCCUGAGCCUCGCAGUUGCCCAGGAGGGCUCCAUCUCUGGUCAUUGAAACAUUCAGCUGGUGAAGUCAGAGCUAUUUUUGCUCUCUGUUGUGACAGGGUAAAUCUGCAGUCGUUCCUCUGACUUCAGUAGACUCGCUCUGAGAGAAGAGGUUUGUGCAACCUAAUUAUCUUCAGUGCCCAUAUUUGCAAUUUUUCUAUGCCCAGUCAUCACAGCGAGCACAGAGCUUUCAUACAGCCACAGGUUUUGGCAGACUCUGCCCGGAGAGCAGUUUGCCAUCUGCAGGUGCUGUCCUGGAGCACUUGCCUAGGAGCGACCGAAGGAUGGAGAGGGUCCGACCAGGGAGAGGAGCGGACAGUGCUGUGAAAACCCCAAAUCCACAAGGGCACAGCUGUGGCUUGUUGCAAUAUGUGCAGAACCUGGUGCACUGACCCAUUUCCUACUGCUCUUGUGGUCUGGUUAACCAUAAGAAAAGCAUUUUCCUGCUGCUCGCUGCUGGGUGGUGAAGGGGCAUCCCCAGGCCCAGGGACUGGAGGAGCAGGAGGGGAGGGCGGUAGCUGCUGAUACACGCGGGGCCUGGCGAAGUGCCCACACUUCACUCCCUCUCAGAGCGAUCGCUGCGAGGAGCUGAGGGUUUCACCACCUCCCCUCGUCGGCCUUCGCGCUGCACUUGACACCGGCGCAGGGGGAUUUACUUGUGCUUGAUGGCUGUCUCCACCGCGGAGCCGCCUGCCCCCCAGCAGGGCAUCGCAAGGAGGACGUGAUGUUCCCAGUGCCAGGCUGAGCACCAGAGCACCGCUAUCGGUGUGAUGUGGAGGUGUCCCCAUGGGAUGUGCCACCAGCUGGAGUGGUGGGACGCAGCAUCCCCCAGGCCAUCGUGGUCCCAAUAACUCCGGUCACCAGCCAGGGCUCUCCAGAUGAAGUCUGGGGCUCCUUGAGGGAGCCAGCUUGCCUUAGCCUCGGUGAGGAUGAGAAACUUCCCAAGAGG